rnacentral:lncRNA from 13 species
AUGCCCUGGGGUGCUAGGGUGAGUGAGAAGGUUGGGGGAGCAGAGGGGACUAAACAUGAUGAUGACUUCACUGAAAUGGAGAAGGCAAGAAUUCUCUCUUUCUAUUUCUCUAAGAAUCCUCUCUCUAUUUCUCUAAGAAUCCCCUCUUUCUAUUUCUCUAAGAAUCCUCUUUCUUUUUCUCUAANNNNNNNNNNAAGGGGGAGAGGAAACGGGAGUGGGGGAAGGAGUGGGGAAGGGGGAGAGGUAACGGGAGUGGGGGAAGGAGUGGGGAAGGGGGAGAGGAAACGGGAGUGGGGGAAGGAGUGGGGAAGGGGGAGAGAUUUGGGUGCAGGAGACACAGCCAACGAGCCGAACCAGGCAGAUGCCUGUCUCCAUGGCAACAACUGGCAACUGUUUCACGGAGGACUUAAAGAUUUCUGAGUGAUGUUAAGCAGAAACUGAUGACAGGAGAAGGUCUUUCCUCACUUCCUCUGUGUCUUUGUGCAUGUUCUCUGCAUAGCAGGAGGAAUUUAGUGUCAUUUUCACCAUCUCAUCAUGAGUAGGAUAAAAGCUGAUUUUUAGAGCCUUUGUGCCUUCAAUGAAUUAGUUCCUUACUUAAUACAAGUCAUAUCACCGUCUCUCUCUAGUAAUCUUUCUAUCUUGUUAGUCAUUUUCCAUCUGGUAUGAUACAGUCUCGUAGGAGCACUGCAAAUUCCCACUCUCCCUAAACAAGCUUGCUCACAGCAAUUGAUCCUUCAGUCACAAAAUUGACUUCUCCUUAAUUCCCUCUCAUCUCUCAUCCUGCCCUCUGUGAGCUGCUCGUCUGGCCUGGAUGUGUCAGAUUGUAGGCCUCCUGGGCACCAGGUUAUGUCACAGGCUGUGGUUGUGGUGACUGACUUUAUAUCACAAAGCCUUGAAUAAGACAGCUCCUCUAACGAGAUGGUCUUUUUCGUGUGUGUGUGUGUGUGGAACUGUAAACUGACAAGGUUAAUCUGAUAUGUCUCUCUUUGUGGUGUCAUAUUAAGUAGAAUAUGAACAGGGGUCACAACCUUAGUGUUAGUGUACACUGAUGACAGAGCAGACAUGAGACAGCAACAACAUGCAAGGCACUGGCUCAUAUAGACACAACACAAAACAACAGGAGGGGGGUAACCAGGAGGGUAAAUAACUGUAGCUAGGAGAACGAUUUCUGUUCAAAUAGUUCAAUGUCUGGAAUUUAUUCACUGCAUGUUUUGAGAGACUGGCUGAUUACAAAGGUAGCUGAAAAUGAAAUGAAUGUGCUUUUGUCCAGCUACUUGAAUAGUAAGACUUGAUUAAUAAUGAAAUGAGUUGUGAAUUGAAUUGUACACCCUGGGGAGUUUUCCAUUUCAGUGUCCAACGUGGAAGCUAUAUUGACUGAAAUAAAAAUGAAUUUGCUGUAUAUUCUGGUUUUGGUAUCUUUAACAUUUGAUUCCACCUUUGUUACAUUCAUCUAUCGUCUUUCUUGAGGUGCAGAAAGCUUUUAAAUGAUAUUAACAUUGACAUGUUUUUGUGUCUUCUUGCAGAGGGUGAGUGAGAAGGUUGGGGGAGCAGAGGGGACUAAACAUGAUGAUGACUUCACUGAAAUGGAGAAGGCAAGAAUUCUCUCUUUCUAUUUCUCUAAGAAUCCUCUCUCUAUUUCUCUAAGAAUCCCCUCUUUCUAUUUCUCUAAGAAUCCUCUUUCUUUUUCUCUAANNNNNNNNNNNNNNNNNNNNNNNNNNNNNNNNNNNNNNNNNNNNNNNNNNNNNNNNNNNNNNNNNNNNNNNNNNNNNNNNNNNNNNNNNNNNNNNNNNNNAUGCCGAAGAACACCAUCCCAACCGUGAAGUACGGGGGUGGCAGCAUCAUGUUGUGGGGGUGCUUUGCUGCAGGAGGGACUGGUGCACUUCACAAAAUAGAUGGAAUCAUGAGGAAAGAAAAUUAUGGGGAUAUAUUGAAGCAACAUCGCAAGACAUCAGUCAGGAAGUUAAAGCUUGGUCGCAAAUGGGUCUUCCAAAUGGACGAUGACCCCAAGCAUACUUCCAAAGUUGUGAAAAAUGGAUUAAGGACAAUAAAGUCAAGGCCAUCACAAAGCCCUGUACUCAUCCUAUAGAAAAUGUGUGGGCAGAACUGAAAAGGCGUGUGCGAUCAAGGAGGCCUACAAACCUGACUCAGUUACACCAGCUCUGUCAGGAGGAAUGGGCCAAAAUUCACCCAACUUAUUGUGGGAAGCUUGUGGGAGGCUACCCGAAACGUUUGACCCAAGUUAAACAAUUUAAAGGCAGUGCUACCAAAUACUAAUUGAGUGUAUGUAAACUUCUGACCCACUGGGAAUGUGAUGAAAGAAAUAAAAGCUGAAAUAAAUCAUUCUCUCUACUAUUAUUCUGACAUUUCAUAUUCCUAAAAUAAGGUGGUGAUCAUAACUGACCUAAAACAGGGCAUUUUUACUAGGAUUAAAUGUCAGGAAUUGUGGAAAAACUGAGAUUAAAUGUAUUUGGCGAAGGUGUAUGUAAACUUCCGAUUGAACUGUACAUCAAUAGAAAUGACAAUAUUCUAGAAAGCAGGCAGCACUCUUCUGUCUUCCUGUCAUCCAUUUGAGUUGCUCAGUGAGCAGGAGAAUGUGAAACAGUGAACACUAUGGCCUGUCUGUCACCCUGCUGCCUGUGGCAGUCGCACUAAUAACAAGGCUUCCUUAACAGGGAUAUGAUCUGUCCUGUUCCUCCACACUGCCCUGUCACCGCAGUUAAAAAGGAGAAGAGACAGAAAUAGACAGAGAGAGAGAAAGAGGGCAGGAAAGAGAGAUCCAUGUCCUUAGCUGGCUGGCUGUCACUUGGUG